UACGUAGGGGGCAAGCGUUGUCCGGAUUCAUUGGGCGUAAAGAGCGUGUAGGCGGCCUGGAAGGUCAGCUGUGAAAACUCGAGGCUCAACCUCGAGACGUCGGUUGAAACCACCUGGCUAGAGUCCGGAAAGAGGAGUGUGGAAUUCCCGGUGAUAGCGGUGAAAUGCGCAGAUAUCGGGGAAGAACACCCGUGGCGAAGGCGGCACUCUGGGACGGUACUGACGCUGAGACGCGAAAGCGUGGGGAGCGAACAG
rnacentral:rRNA from 1 species